GGGCUCACUUCAGCAGGACAUGUACUAAAAUUGGAGCGAUAAAAGGAUUAGCAUGGUUCCUAUGCAAGGAUGACACAAAAAUUUGGGCAAUGUUCCAUAUUUCC
ensembl:snRNA U6 U6 spliceosomal RNA